GGCAGUCAGAGGCGAUGAAGGACGUGCUAAUCUGCGAUAAGCGUCGGUAAGGUGAUAUGAACCGUUAUAACCGGCGAUUUCCGAAUGGGGAAACCCAGUGUGAUUCGUCACACUAUCAUUAACUGAAUCCAUAGGUUAAUGAGGCGAACCGGGGGAACUGAAACAUCUAAGUACCCCGAGGAAAAGAAAUCAACCGAGAUUCCCCCAGUAGCGGCGAGCGAACGGGGAGGAGCCCAGAGCCUGAAUCAGUGUGUGUGUUAGUGGAAGCGUCUGGAAAGGCGCGCGAUACAGGGUGACAGCCCCGUACACAAAAAUACACAUGCUGUGAGCUCGAUGAGUAGGGCGGGACACGUGGUAUCCUGUCUGAAUAUGGGGGGACCAUCCUCCAAGGCUAAAUACUCCUGACUGACCGAUAGUGAACCAGUACCGUGAGGGAAAGGCGAAAAGAACCCCGGCGAGGGGAGUGAAAAAGAACCUGAAACCGUGUACGUACAAGCAGUGGGAGCACAGAGCAAUCUGUGUGACUGCGUACCUUUUGUAUAAUGGGUCAGCGACUUAUAUUCUGUAGCAAGGUUAACCGAAUAGGGGAGCCGAAGGGAAACCGAGUCUUAACUGGGCGUUAAGUUGCAGGGUAUAGACCCGAAACCCGGUGAUCUAGCCAUGGGCAGGUUGAAGGUUGGGUAACACUAACUGGAGGACCGAACCGACUAAUGUUGAAAAAUUAGCGGAUGACUUGUGGCUGGGGGUGAAAGGCCAAUCAAACCGGGAGAUAGCUGGUUCUCCCCGAAAGCUAUUUAGGUAGCGCCUCGUGAAUUCAUCUCCGGGGGUAGAGCACUGUUUCGGCAAGGGGGUCAUCCCGACUUACCAACCCGAUGCAAACUGCGAAUACCGGAGAAUGUUAUCACGGGAGACACACGGCGGGUGCUAACGUCCGUCGUGAAGAGGGAAACAACCCAGACCGCCAGCUAAGGUCCCAAAGUCAUGGUUAAGUGGGAAACGAUGUGGGAAGGCCCAGACAGCCAGGAUGUUGGCUUAGAAGCAGCCAUCAUUUAAAGAAAGCGUAAUAGCUCACUGGUCGAGUCGGCCUGCGCGGAAGAUGUAACGGGGCUAAACCAUGCACCGAAGCUGCGGCAGCGACGCUUAUGCGUUGUUGGGUAGGGGAGCGUUCUGUAAGCCUGCGAAGGUGUGCUGUGAGGCAUGCUGGAGGUAUCAGAAGUGCGAAUGCUGACAUAAGUAACGAUAAAGCGGGUGAAAAGCCCGCUCGCCGGAAGACCAAGGGUUCCUGUCCAACGUUAAUCGGGGCAGGGUGAGUCGACCCCUAAGGCGAGGCCGAAAGGCGUAGUCGAUGGGAAACAGGUUAAUAUUCCUGUACUUGGUGUUACUGCGAAGGGGGGACGGAGAAGGCUAUGUUGGCCGGGCGACGGUUGUCCCGGUUUAAGCGUGUAGGCUGGUUUUCCAGGCAAAUCCGGAAAAUCAAGGCUGAGGCGUGAUGACGAGGCACUACGGUGCUGAAGCAACAAAUGCCCUGCUUCCAGGAAAAGCCUCUAAGCAUCAGGUAACAUCAAAUCGUACCCCAAACCGACACAGGUGGUCAGGUAGAGAAUACCAAGGCGCUUGAGAGAACUCGGGUGAAGGAACUAGGCAAAAUGGUGCCGUAACUUCGGGAGAAGGCACGCUGAUAUGUAGGUGAAGCGACUUGCUCGUGGAGCUGAAAUCAGUCGAAGAUACCAGCUGGCUGCAACUGUUUAUUAAAAACACAGCACUGUGCAAACACGAAAGUGGACGUAUACGGUGUGACGCCUGCCCGGUGCCGGAAGGUUAAUUGAUGGGGUCAGCGCAAGCGAAGCUCUUGAUCGAAGCCCCGGUAAACGGCGGCCGUAACUAUAACGGUCCUAAGGUAGCGAAAUUCCUUGUCGGGUAAGUUCCGACCUGCACGAAUGGCGUAAUGAUGGCCAGGCUGUCUCCACCCGAGACUCAGUGAAAUUGAACUCGCUGUGAAGAUGCAGUGUACCCGCGGCAAGACGGAAAGACCCCGUGAACCUUUACUAUAGCUUGACACUGAACAUUGAGCCUUGAUGUGUAGGAUAGGUGGGAGGCUUUGAAGUGUGGACGCCAGUCUGCAUGGAGCCGACCUUGAAAUACCACCCUUUAAUGUUUGAUGUUCUAACGUGGACCCGUAAUCCGGGUUGCGGACAGUGUCUGGUGGGUAGUUUGACUGGGGCGGUCUCCUCCUAAAGAGUAACGGAGGAGCACGAAGGUUGGCUAAUCCUGGUCGGACAUCAGGAGGUUAGUGCAAUGGCAUAAGCCAGCUUGACUGCGAGCGUGACGGCGCGAGCAGGUGCGAAAGCAGGUCAUAGUGAUCCGGUGGUUCUGAAUGGAAGGGCCAUCGCUCAACGGAUAAAAGGUACUCCGGGGAUAACAGGCUGAUACCGCCCAAGAGUUCAUAUCGACGGCGGUGUUUGGCACCUCGAUGUCGGCUCAUCACAUCCUGGGGCUGAAGUAGGUCCCAAGGGUAUGGCUGUUCGCCAUUUAAAGUGGUACGCGAGCUGGGUUUAGAACGUCGUGAGACAGUUCGGUCCCUAUCUGCCGUGGGCGCUGGAGAACUGAGGGGGGCUGCUCCUAGUACGAGAGGACCGGAGUGGACGCAUCACUGGUGUUCGGGUUGUCAUGCCAAUGGCACUGCCCGGUAGCUAAAUGCGGAAGAGAUAAGUGCUGAAAGCAUCUAAGCACGAAACUUGCCCCGAGAUGAGUUCUCCCUGACUCCUUGAGAGUCCUGAAGGAACGUUGAAGACGACGACGUUGAUAGGCCGGGUGUGUAAGCGCAGCGAUGCGUUGAGCUAACCGGUACUAAUGAACCGUGAGGCUUAACCUU
rnacentral:rRNA from 1 species